CACAUGACUCUCGGCAACGGAUAUCUCGGCUCUUGCAUCGAUGAAGAACGUAGCAAAAUGCGAUACCUGGUGUGAAUUGCAGAAUCCCGUGAACCAUCGAGUUUUUGAACGCAAGUUGCGCCCGAGGCCUUCUGGCCGAGGGCACGUCUGCCUGGGCGUCACGC
rnacentral:rRNA from 2 species